rnacentral:rRNA from 1 species
CCCGCACAAGCGGUGGAUUAUGUGGAUUAAUUCGAUGCAACGCGAAAACUUACCUACCCUUGACAUGCUAGGAACUUGCCAGAGAUGGCUUGGUGCCCGAAAGGGAACCUAGACACAGGUGCUGCAUGGCUGUCGUCAGCUCGUGUCGUGAGAUGUUGGGUUAAGUCCCGCAACGAGCGCAACCCUUGUCAUUAAUUGCCAUCAUUCAGUUGGGCACUUUAAUGAGACUGCCGGUGACAAACCGGAGGAAGGUGGGGAUGACGUCAAGUCCUCAUGGCCCUUAUGGGUAGGGCUUCACACGUAAUACAAUGGUCGGUACAGAGGGUUGCCAACCCGCGAGGGGGAGCCAAUCCCAGAAAACCGAUCGUAGUCCGGAUUGCAGUCUGCGACUCGACUGCAUGAAGUCGGAAUCGCUAGUAAUCGCGGAUCAGCAUGUCGCGGUGAAUACGUUCCCGGGCCUU